rnacentral:rRNA from 1 species
GGACUACCCGGGUUUCUAAUCCCGUUCGCUACCUACGCUUUCGUGUAUGAGCGUCAGGAAUGGCCCAGCGUGCUGCCUUCGCAUUUGGUGUUCCCCAUGAUAUCAACGGAUUUCACCCCUACACCAUGAGUUCCGCACGCCUCUGCCACCCUCUUAGUUUUGCCGUUUCGAGCGCAUUCCACAGGUUAAGCCUGCGGGCUUUUACGCUCGACUAACAAAACCGCCUGCACACCCUUUACGCCCAGUGAUUCCGGGUAACGCUUGAGGCCUCUGUAUUACCGCGGCUGCUGGCAC